GAUGAAGAACGCAGCGAAAUGCGAUAAGUAGUGUGAAUUGCAGAAUUCAGUGAAUCAUCGAAUCUUUGAACGCACAUUGCGCCCCCUGGUAUUCCGGAGGGCAUGCCUGUCCGAGCGUCAUUGCUGCCCUCAAGCACGGCUUGUGUGUUGGGCCUCCGUCCUCCUCCCGGGGGACGGGCCCGAAAGGCAGCGGCGGCACCGCGUCCGGUCCUCGAGCGUAUGGGGCUUCGUCACCCGCUCUUGUAGGCCCGGCCGGCGCUUGCCGACACAUCAAUCUUUUUUCCAGGUUGACCUCGGAUCAGGUAGGGAUACCCGCUGAACUUAAGCAUAUCAAUAAGCGGAGGA
rnacentral:misc_RNA from 1 species